ACAAUAUACAAAAUCUAGCAAAAAAGAACACUAAUAACACUAUCAAUCUUCUGUUCUUUUGAUAACAAUAUACAAAUUUGCAAAACAGAGAACACUAAUAACACUUCAUCUUCUCAUUUUUCAUAACAAUAUACAAAUUUACAAACAAGAACAUAAUAACAUAUCUAUCUUCUCAAUUUUCUUUGAUAACAAUAUACAAAUUUAGCAAAACAAGAACAUAAUAACACUAUCAAUCUUCUCAUUUCUGAUAACAAUAUACAAAAUUUAGCAAAACAAGAACAAAUAACAUAUCAAUCUUCUAUUUCUUGAUAACAAUAUACAAAUUUAGCAAAACAAGAACACUAAUAACACAAAUCUUCUCAUUCUUGAUAAAUAUACAAAAUUUAGCAAAACAAGAAACACUAAUAACAUUAUCAAUUCUCUCAUUUCUUAAUAACAAUACAUAAUUUAGCAAACAAGAACAUAAUAACACUGCUUCAUCUCUCAUUCUUGAUAACAAUAUACAAAAUAUAGCAAAACCAGAAACACUAAUACACUCAUCAAUCUUCUCAUUUCUUGAUAACAAUAUACAAAAUUUGCAACAGAACAUAAUACACUAUCAAUCUUCUCAUUUCUUGAUUAACAUAUACAAAAUUUAAAAAAAAACAAGAACACUAAUAACACUAUAUCUCUCAUUUCUUGAUAACAAUAAUACAAAAUUUAGCAAAACAAGACACUAAUAACAUUCAAUCUUCUCAUUUCUUGAUAAACAAUAUAAAAAAUUUAGCAAAACAAGAACAUAAUAACUAUCAAUCUUCUCAUUUCUUAAACAAUAUACAAAAUUUAGAAAAACAGAACACUAAUAACAUAUCAUCUUCUCAUUUCUUGAUAACAAUAUACAAAUUUAGCAACAAGAACACUAAUAACACUUCAAUCUUCUCAUUUUUGAUAACAAUAUACAAAAUUUAGCAAAACAAGAACACUAUCAAUCUUCUCAUUUUUGAUAACAAUAUACAAAAUUUAGCAAAACAAGAACACUAAUAACACUAUCAUCUCUCAUUUCUGAUAACAAUAUACAAAAUUCAGAACAAACAAGAAGCUUCAUUCUUGAUAACAACUAUCAUUCCAACAAGACAUAUCAUUCCAUGUCUGAUAAAUGAAAAUUUCUAAGCAAAUCAAGACACAAUAAACAUCCACUACAUUUGAACAAUUUUACGAACAAGAAAUGAUACACUCUCCAAUUCUCAUUCUGAUAACAAUAUACAAAUUUAGAAAACAAGAACUUAUCAAUCCUCUCAUUUCUUGAUAACAAUAUACAUAAUUUAGCAAAACAAGAACACUAAUAACACUAUCAAUCUUCUCAUUUCUUGAUAACAAUAUACAAAAUUUAGAAAAACAAGAACACUAAUAACACUAUCAAUCUUCACAUUUCUUGAUAACAAUAUACAUAAUUUAGCAAAACAAGAACAAUAAUAACACUCUCAGUCCUCUUUUUUCUUGAUAAUAAUAUACAAAAUUUAACAAAAGAAGAACACUAAUAACACUAUCAAUCUUCUGAUUUCUUGAUAACACUAUACAAAAUUUAGCAAAACAAGAACACUAAUAACACUGUCAAUCUUCUCAUUUCUUGAUAACAAUAUACAAAAUUUAGCAAAACAAGAACACUAUUAAUCUUCUCAUUUUUUGAUAACAAUUUACAAAAUUUAGCAAAACAAGAACACUAAUAACACUAUCCAUCCUCUCAUUUCUUGAUAACAAUAUACAAAAUUCAGCAAAACAAGAACCCUAAUAACACUAUCAAUCUUCUCAUUUCUUGAUAACAAAAUUUAGCACAAACAAGAACACUAAUAAACACUAUCAAUCUUUCUUGAUAACAAUAUACAAAAUUCAGCAAAACAAGAACACUAAUAACACUAUCAAUCUUCUCAUUUCUUGAUAACAAUAUACAAAAUUCAGCAAAACAAGAACACUAAUAACACUAUCAAUCCUGUCAUUUCUUGAUAACAAUAUACAAAAUUUAGCAAACCAAGAACAUUAAUAACAUUAUCAAUCUUCUCAUUUCUUGAUAACAAUAUACAAAAUUUAGCAAAAUAAGAACACUAAUAACACUAUCAAUCUUCUUAUUUCUUGAUAACAAUAUACAAAAUUUAGCAAAGCAAGAACACUAAUAACACUAUCAAUCUUCUCAUUUCUUGAUAACAAAAUAGAAAAUUUAGCAAAACAAGAACACUAAUAACAAUAUCAAUCCUCUCAUUUCUUGAUAACAAUAUACAUAAUUUAGCUAAACAAGAACACUAUCAAUCUUCUCAUUUCUUGAUAACAAUAUACAAAAUUUAGCAAAACAAGAACACUAAUAACACUAUCAAUCCUCUCAUUUCUUAAUAACAAUAUACAAAAUUCAGCAAAACAAGAACCCUAAUAACACUAUCAAUCUUCUCAUUUCUUGAUAACAAUAUACAAAAUUCAGCAAAACAAGAACACUAAUAACACUAUCAAUCCUCUCAUUUCUUGAUAACAAUAUAAAAAGUUUAGCAAACAAGAACACAAUAACACUAUCAAUCUUCUCAUUUCUUAAUACAAAUAUAGAAAAUUUAGCAAAACAAGAACACUAAUAACACUAAUCAAUCUCUCUCUUUCUUAGAUAACAAUAUACACAAAUUUUAGCAAAACAAGAACACUAAUAACAUUAUCAAUCUUCUCAUUUCUGAUAACAAUUAGACAAAUUUAGCAAAACAAGAACACUAUAUAACACUAUCAAUCUUUCUCAUUUCUUGAUAACAAUAUACAAAAUUAUAAAAACAGAAACACUAAUAACACUAUCAAUCUUCUCAUUUCUUGAUAACAAUAUAACAAAAUUUAGCAAAACAAGAACACUAAUAACACUAUCAAUCUUCUCAUUUCUUGAUAAAAAUAGCAAAAUUAGCAAAACAAGACACUAUAACAACUAUCAAUCUUCUCAUUUCUUAAUAACAAUAUACAAAUUUAGCAAAAAGAACACUAAUAACACUAUCAAUCUUUCCAUUUCUUGAUAACAAUAUACAAAAUUGCAAAACAAGAACACUAAUAACACUCAAUUCUUCUCAUUUCUUGAUAACAAUAUACAAAAUUUAGCAAAACAAGAACACUAUCAAUCUUCUCAUUUCUUGAUAACAAUAUACAAAAUUUAGCAAACAAGAAACACUAAUAACACUAUCAUCUCUCAUUUCUUGAUAACAAUAUACAAAAUUCAGCAAAACAAGAACCUAAUAACAUAUCAAUCUUCUCAUUUCUUGAUAACAAUAUACAAAAUUCAGCAAAACAAGAACAUAAUAACUAUCAAUCCUCUCAUUCUUGACAACAAUAUACAAAAUUAAGGCAAAACAAGAACAUUAAUAACAUUAUCAAUCUUCUCAUUUCUUGAUAACAAUAUACAAAAUUUAGCGAAACAAGAACACUAAUAACACUAUCAAUCUUCUCUUUUUUCUUAAUAACAAUAUACAAAAUUUAGCAAAACAAGAACACUAAUAACACUAUCAAUCUUCUCAUUUCUUGAUAACAAUAUACAAAAUUUAGCAAAAACAAGAACACUAAUAAACACAUCAAUCUUCUCAUUUCUUGAUAACAAUAUACAAAAUUUAGCAAAGCAAAGAACACUAAUAACACUAUCAAUCUUCUCAUUCUUGAAUAACAAAAUAGAAAAUUUAGGCAAAACAAGAACACUAAUAACAUCAAUCCUUCAUUUCUUGAUAACAAUAUACAAAUUUAGCAAAACAAACACUAAUAACAUAUCAACCUCAUUUCUUGAUAACAAUAUACAAAAUUUGCAAAACAAGAACACUAUAUUAACACUAUCAAUUUCUCAUUUCUUAAUAACAAUAUACAAAAUUUAGCAAAAAAAACAAAACAUAAUAACACUAUCAAUCUCUCAUUUCUUGAUAACAUAUACAAAAUUUGGCAAAACAAGAACACUAAUAACACUAUCAAUGCUUCUUCAUUUCUUGAUAACAAAUAUACAAAUUUAAAAACAAGAACACUAUAACAACUAUCAAUCUUCUCAUUUCUUGAUAACAAUAUACAAAAUUUAGCAAAACAAGAAACUAAUAACACUAUCAAUCUUCUCAUUUCUUGAUAACAAUAUCAAAAUUUAGCAAAACAAGAACACUAUAACACUAUCAAUCUUCUCAUUUCUUAAUAACAAUAUACAAAAUUUAGCAAAACAAGAACACUAAUAACACUAUCAAUCUCUCAUUUCUUGAUAACAAUAUACAAAAUUUAGCAAAACAAGAACACUAAUAACACUUCAAUCUUCUCAUUUCUUGAUAACAAUAUACAAAAUUUAGCAAACAAGAACACUAAAACACUAUCAAUCUUCUCAUUUCUUGAUAACAAUAUAAAUUUAGCAAAACAAGAACACUAAUAACAACAUCUCAUCCUCUAUUUCUGAUAACAAUAUACAAAAUUCAGCAAACAAGAACCCUAAUAACACUAUCAAUCUUCUCAUUUCUUGAUAACAAUAUACAAAAUUCAGAAACAAGAACACUAAUAACACUAUCAAUCUUCUCAUUUCUUGAUAACAAUAUAAAAUUUAGCAAAAACAAGAACAUUAAUAACAUUAUCAUCUUCUCAUUUCUUGAUACAAUAUACAAAAUUUAGCAAAAAAGAACACUAAUAACACUAUCAAUCUUCUCAUUUCUUGAUAACAAUAUACAAAAUUUAGCAAACAAGAAACUAAAACACUAAUAAUCUCUCAUUUCUUGAUAACAAUAUACAAAAAUUAUAGAAAACAAGAACACUAUCAAUCUUCCUCAUUUUUUGAUAACAAUAUCAAAAUUUAGCAAAACAGAACACUAAAACACUAUCUCUUCUCAUUUCUUGAUAACAAUAUACAAUUCGCAAAACAAGAACACUAAUAACACUAUCAAUCUUCUCAUUUCUUGAUAACAAUAUACAAAAUUUAGCAAAACAAGAACACUAAUAACACUAUCAAUCCUCUCAUUUCUUGACAACAAUAUACAAAAUUUAGCAAAACAAGAACAUUAAUAAACUAUCAAUCUUCUCAUUCUUAUAACAAUAUACAAAAUUUAAGCGAAACAAGAACACUAAUAACACUAUCAAUCUUCUCAUUUCUAUAAUAACGAAUAUACAAAAUUUAGCAAAAAAGAAAACACUAAUAACACUAUCAAUCUUCUCAUUUCUUGAUAACAAUAUACAAAAUUACAAAACAGAACAACUAAUAACACAUCAAUUUUCUCAUUUCUUGAUAACAUAUACAAAAUUUAGCCAAAAGCAAGAAACACUAAUAAACUAUCAAUCUUCUCAUUUCUUAAUAACAAUAAUAGAAAAUUUAGCAAAACAAGAAACACUAAAACACUAUCAAUCAUCUCAUUUCUUAAUAAACAAUACANNNNNNNNNNNNNNNNNNNNNGGCAAAAAAAGAAGGGAGAGGAGGGAGGAGUAGAGGGAAUAUAUAUCUGCAACAUACAGCCAGGAGAGUAUUAUAUUUAAUUUUAAUAUAGAGAGAAUUCACACACAUUACAGUAAGUAACUCAAUAUAUAUAAAUUAACAACAUCUCUAUAUGUAUUAUAAUAUACACAUAUAAUCUAUAUAUUAUCUCAAUCUAGUAUCACUAAUUAGAUAUCACUUAGAUCACAUACACCUUAUAACUCACAAAAAGAAUAUUUUAUAUAUAUAGCGCGAGAGAUAUAUAUACCACUCACUAGAAAAUACACAAAUCACAAAUUAUGACACCACUAUAUUCUUUCACAAAUGAGUUGACAUUAUAUAUAUAAAUACUAAAUAUUGUGUAGCAACAAUGAUAUAAUACUCACGCUUAUAAAUAACAUCUAUAGUAAGAAAGAAGAAAUAUUUAUGAAUAAACAAUCAUUGCUAUAUAAUAAUGAGAGAGUGCACAACACAUAAUAUAGGAACAUCAAUAUAGUAACAACAUAAUUCGGAUUAUGUCUCUCUCUAUAUGCUCAUAAUUUAUGCGUAUUAGAUAUAAAAAUAAUACAAAUAGCUUCUCACAUGCAAUAAAUGCAGGAUCACAAAUAUAUAUUAACACUAGUAAUCACAAACUUACUUACUCAUUUUUCUUGAAUAACUAAAUAUAUAACUUUUAAAGCACAUAACCACACGUAUAUUCACCUAAUAAACACUAUCAAUCUCUCAUUUCUUGAUAACAAUAUACAAAAUUUAGCAAAAACAAGAAACAACUAUAAUAACAUUAUCAAUUCGCUCUCAUUUCUUGAAAACAAUAUACAUAAUUUAGCAAAACAAGAACAAUAAAACACUCUCAAUCCUCUCAUUUCUUAAUACAAUAUACAAAAUUUAAGAAAAAGAAGAAACACUAAUAACACUAUCAAUCUCUGAUUUCUUGAUAACAAUAACAAAAUUAGCAAAACAAGAACACUAAUAACACUAUCAAUCUUCUCAUUUUCUUAUAACAAUAUACCAAAAUUUAAGCAAAACAAGAAACACUAAUAACACUAUCAAUCUUCUCAUUUCUUGAUAACAAUAUACAAAAUUUAGCAAAACAAGAACACUAAUAAACACUAUCAAUCUUCUCAAUUCUUGAUAACAAUAUACAAAAUUAAAAAAACAAAAGAACACUAAUAACACUAAUCAAUCUUCUCAUUUCUUGAUAACAAAUAUACAAUUUAAAAAACAAGAACACUAAUAACACUAUCAAUCUCUCAUUUCUUGAUAACAAUACUACAAAUUGCAAAACAAGAACACUAAUAACACUCAAUCUUCUCAUUUCUUAUAACAAUAAAAAAUUUAGCAAACAAGAACACUAAUAACACUAUCAAUCUUCUAUUUCUUGAUAAACAAUAUAAAAAAUUUAGCAAAAUAAAAACACUAAUAACACUAUCAAUCUUCUCAUUUCUUGAUAACAAUAUAAAAAAUUUAGCAAAAACAGAGACACUAAUAACACUAUCAAUCUUCUCAUUUCUUGAUAACAAUAUACAAAAUUUAGCAAAACAAAGAACACUAAUAAAACUAUCAAUCUUCUCAUUUCUUGAAUAACAAAUACAGAAUUUUAGCAAAACAAAGAACACUAAUAACACUAUCAAUCCUCUCAUUUCUUGAUACCAAUAUACAAAUUUAGCAAAACAAGAACACUAAUAAACUAUCAAUCUCUCAAUGUUCUUGAUAAUACAAUAUAUAAAUUUAGCACAAACAAGAACACUAAUAAACACUAUCAAUCUCUCAUUUCUUGAUAACAAUUACAAAUUUAGCAAAACAAGAACGUACUAAUAACACUAUCAAUCCUCAUUUCUUGAUAACAAUAUACAAAUUAGGAAACAAGAACACUAAUAACACUAUCAAUCUUAAUUUCUUGAUAACAAUAUACAAAAUUAGCAAAACAAGAACACUAAUAACACUAUCAUCUUCUCAAUUUCUUGAUAACAAAUAAUACAAAAAUUUAGCAAACAAGAACACUAAUAACACUAUCAAUCUUCUAAUUUCUUGAUAACAAUAUACAAAAUUUAGGAAAAAAGACAUGAUAACAUAUCAAUCUUCUCAUUCUUUUGAUAACAAAAUACAAAUUUAAGCAAAGCAAAGAACACUAAUAAAACUUCAAUUUCUCAUUUCUUGAUAACAAAAUAGAAAAAUUUUAGCAAAACAAGAACACAAAUUACUAUCAUCUUCUCAUUUCUUGAUAACAAUAUAUCAAAAUUAGCAAAACAAGAACAGCUAUAACAUUAAUGCAAUCCUCUCAUUUCUUGAUAACAAUAUACAUAAUUAGCAAAAACCAAGAAACACUAAUCAUCUUCUCAUUUCUUGAUAAUAAUAUACCCAAAAUUUAGCAAAACAGAACCAAUAACACUAUCGAUCCUCUCCCUUUCUUGAUAACAAAUAAAGUACGAAAUUCAGCAAAAAAGAACGCUAAUAACUACUAUCAGAUCUUCUCAUUUCUUGAUAACAAUAUACAAAAUUCAGCAAAACAAGAACACUAAUAACAUUAUCAAUCCUCUCAUUCUUGAUCAACAAAUAUAACAAAAUUUAGCAAAACAAGAACAUUAAUAACAUUAUCAAAUCUUUCCAUUUCUUGAUAACAAUAUAGAAAAUUUAGGCGAAACAAGAACACUAUAACACUAUCAAUCAUCCUUUCAUUUCUAAUAAUAAUAUAAAAUUUAGCAAAACAAGAACAACUAAAUAACACGUCAAAUCUUCACAUUUCUUGAUAAACAAUAUACAAAAUUUAGCAAAACAAGAACACUAAUAACACUAAUCGAUCUUCUCAUUUUCUUGAUAACAAUAUACAAAAUUUAAAGCAAAGCAAGACCACUAAUAACACUAUCCAAGCUUCUCAUUUCUUGAUAACAAAAUAGAAAAUUUAGCAAAACAAGAACACCUGAAUACACUAUCAUCCUUCUCAUCUCUUGAUAACAGUAUAUCAAAACUUUAGCAAAACAAGAACACUAAUAACAUUAUCAAUCCUCUCAUUUUCUUGAUAACAAUAUACAUAAUUUAGCAAAACCAAAACAAUAUACAACACUCUCAAUCCUCUCAUUUCUUAAUAACAAUAUACAAAAUUUAAGAAAAGAAGAACACUAAUGACACUAAUCAAUCUUCUGAUUUCUGAUAAACAAUCUACAAAAUAUAGCAAAACAAAGAACAUAAUAACACUAUGCAAAUCUUCUCAAUUUCUCAUAACAAUUAACAAAAUUUAGCAAAACAAAACACUAAAUAACACUAUCAUCUUCUCAUUUUUUGUACAAUAUAACAAAUUUAGCAAAACAAAGAACACUAAUAACACUAAUCAAUGCUUCUCAUUUCUUGAUACAAUAUACAAAAUUUUAGGCAAAACAAGAAACUAUAACACUAUCAAUCUUUCUCUAUUUCUUGAUAACAAUAUACAAAAUUUUUAAAAAAUAACAAGAACACAAUAACACUAUCAAUUUCUCAUUUCUCCUUGAUAACAAUAUACAAAAUUUAGCAAAACAAAAACACUAAUAACACUAUCAAUCUUCUAAUUUCUUGAUAAGCAAAUAUAAUCAAAAUUUUAGCAAAACAAUAACACUAAUACACUAUCAAUCUUCUCAUUUCUUUCUUGAUAACAAUAUACAAAACUUAAAAAAACAAAGAACACUAAUAAACACUACAUCUUCUCAUUUUUGAUAACAAAUUUACAAAACUUUAAAAAAACAAAAAACUAAUAACACUAUCAAUCUUCUCAUUUCUGAUAACAUAGAUAAAAUUUUGCAAAAACAACGAACACUAAUAACUACUGUCACUCUUCUCAUUUCUGAUAAACAAUAUACAAAAUUUAGCAAAACAAGAACACUAAUAACACUAUCAAUCUUCUGAUUUUCUUGAUAACAAUUUAUACAUAAUUUUGGCCAAAUAAAAACCUAAUAACACUAUAAAUCUCUUCAUUUCUUGAUAACGAUAUAAAAACUUAGCAAAAACAAGGACACUAAUAACACUAUCAAUCUUCACUUUCCUUGAUAUACAAUGAUACAAAAUUUAGCAAAACAGAAACACUAAUACAAAAACUAUCAAUCUUCUCAUUUCUUGAUAACAAUAACAGAAUUUUGCAAAACAAGAACAUUGAUAAACUAUCAAUCCUCUCAUUUCUUGAUAACAAUAUAACAAGAAUUUAGCCAAAAAAAGAACACUAAUAAACUCUAAUCCUCCAAUUUCUUGAUAAUAAUAUCAUAAAAUUUUAGCAAAACAAGAAACCAUAACACUAUCAAUCCUCUCAUUUAUUGAUAACAAUGUAACAGAAUUUAUCAAAGAACAAGAACACUAUAACACUUAUCAAUCCUCUUCAUUUCUGAUAACAAUUAGCAAAUUGCAGUAACAAAACAAGAAUACUAAUAUACUACUCUCAUCUUCUUCAUUUCUGAUAUACUAUAUUAUCAUAAAUUCAGCAAAACAUAGAACACUAUAACACUAUCAUCCUCUCAAUUUCUUGAAUAACAACAUACAAAAUUUAGCAAAACAAGAACAUUAAUAACAUUUAUCAAGUCUUCUCAUUUCCUUGAUAACAAUACUACAAAAUUUAGCAAAAACAAGAACACUAAUAACGAAUUUUCAAUUCUUUUUCAAUUUCCUUGAUUAACAAUAUACAAAAUUUAGCAGAAGCAAGAACAGACUAAUAAACUGAUCAAUCUUCUCAUCUUCUGAUAACAAAAAUAGAAAAUUUAGCAAAACAGAAGAAACACUAAUAACACUAAUCAUUCCUUCUCAUUUUCUUGAUAACAAUAUACAAAAAUUUAGCAAAACAGAACACUAAUAACAAUUAUCAUCCAAUCAUUUUCUUGAUAACAAUAUAUCAAAAUUUAGCAAACAAAAACAACUAAUAACACAAUCAAUCCUCCUCAUUUUCUUGAUUUAACAAUAUACAAAAUUCAGCAAAACAAGAACAGCCUAAUAACACUAUCAAUCUUUCAAUUUCUUAAUAACAAUAUACAAUUCAGCAAAACAAGAACACUAAUAACACUAUAUCCUCGUCAAUUUUCUUGAUAACAAUAUACAAUUUAAGCAAAAACAAGAACAUUAAUAACAUUAUCAAUCUUCUCAUUUCUUGAUAACAAUAUACCAAGUUAAGCAAAACAAGGACACUAAUAACACUAUCAAUCAUCUCAUUUCUUAA
rnacentral:lncRNA from 1 species